AGAGUUUGAUCCUGGCUCAGGACGAACGCUGGCGGCGUGCUUAACACAUGCAAGUCGAGCGGUAAGGCCCUUCGGGGUACACGAGCGGCGAACGGGUGAGUAACACGUGAGUAACCUGCCCUUCGGCGGGGGAUAACCCCGGGAAACUGGGGCUAAUACCGCAUAACGUCACGUCGCACAAGUGCUGUGACCAAAGGUUUCGACCGCCGAAGGAGGGGCUCGCGGCCUAUCAGCUAGUUGGUGAGGUAACGGCUUACCAAGGCUAUGACGGGUAACCGGUCUGAGAGGAUGAUCGGUCAGAGGGGGACUGAGACACGGCCCCCACUCCUACGGGAGGCAGCAGCAGGGAAUUUUGCGCAAUGGGCGAAAGCCUGACGCAGCGACGCCGCGUGGGGGAGGAAGCCCUUCGGGGUGUAAACCCCUGUCAGAGGGGAAGAAUGGCCCUGGGAGGAAAUGCCCGGGGUUUGACGGUACCCUCAGAGGAAGCACCGGCUAACUCUGUGCCAGCAGCCGCGGUAAUACAGAGGGUGCGAGCGUUGUUCGGAAUUACUGGGCGUAAAGCGCGCGCAGGCGGCCUUUUAAGUCUACCCGUGAAAUGCCGGGGCUCAACUCCGUGCACGCCGGGGGAUACUGGGAGGCUGGAGACAGGUAGAGGCAAGCGGAAUUCCGGGUGUAGCGGUGGAAUGCGUAGAGAUCCGGAAGAACACCUGAGGCGAAGGCGGCUUGCUGGGCCUGGUCUGACGCUGAGGCGCGAAAGCGUGGGGAGCGAACAGGAUUAGAUACCCCCGUAGUCC
rnacentral:rRNA from 1 species